rnacentral:lncRNA from 1 species
CUUAACCGUGACUUGAGUAGCUCAUAUCCAUCUUGGUCUGCUGCUCUAAGUGAGUUGUGAUGAACCAUAAUCACCUUUACUUACAAAUUCGAUGGGCUGUGGAGACAGCUCUAAGCCACAGAAAAGACAUUUCCCACUCUGAGCUUCGAGUCUGAAAUGGGAGGUUUCGUUUGAUUUUUUUUUUUCCUCCUCUGCUCUAGAUCUUUACACUGGAGAUUUUAAAAGUCAAAUUUGCACAGGGUAGUUUGGUUGCUGCACCCCACGGAGAAUUUCAGAAAGUAAAAGGCUCAUCCUUAUCUGAUUUCUCAACCAUGACAGGGUAGGAAAUAAUGAUCCAGCCUUGAAAUGCCAACAUGAUGAAGGGUAUAGAGAAACAUAGGAAAAUGAUACCAUGCUAAGUGGAAAACACCCUAACAGAUAUCCAAUGCUUCUGGAUUCUGAUUUAUGGAUGAACUUGUGAAACCAUUUAAGUGCUGGAACUGGAGCAACUCAAAAUUGAUCAAACUGAUCCUGCAAUAUUAUGUAGAGGCAGGAACCAUGUGUUCCCAUGCCCCCAUAUUGCUGAAAUAAAUAUAAAUGAUUACAAGACCAGCUUGCAAUGAACUUAAGGAGAGAUGAAGAUUUUCUGCAAUUUCCUGGGUAGUAGAAAACCCAGUGGGUUGGAGGCAAAAGCUAGGUGUAUAGCCCUGGGGGCCGGGGGUGCCCGUGUGCCUAAAUCUCCUCAACUCUGAAAUGAGGGGAUUAGGCUCCAUGGUCUGGAGAUCCUGCCUUUCUGUUCUCUCAGGUGGGUGGAAGCUCAGAAUGUCAGAGGCUCAUAGUGAUCGUUGGGAUAGCUCCCUAGUGGAGUCUUAUUGUUUGAUGAACGGUCUUCUCCCAUACUGUGAUGGGAAGACUAAUAAAAGCAAUGACAAUAUAGUGUGAACGAAGCAUUUUCUCAUUUGGAAGAAAACUAUGGUCUUCACAAACUAUUUGGAAGGUCCAAAAAUAACUUGUACAAUUCAUUGAAUUUUGGAGGAAAAGAAAGUUAUGAUACAGGAGAAAGAAAGAGGUUUAAAAGUGAAGAUGAAAAAAGGUUUGUAAUUUCAUUGGCUAAAAAGGGAUCUAUUGAACAGUAAUUACGGGCACUAAGGAAGCAUUGUCUCUAGUGCAUUUAAAAAGGAGCAUCAAGGCAAAUAUGGGAGCAUGGUGUGGGGUAGUUUUUUUUUUUUUUUUUUCUUUUCCUCGGGGGAAGGGUUGCUUUAUGAAAACCAGAGGCUUUUUUUUGUGGUUUUUUAUUUUUUAAUUUUAGAAAUAAUCCUAUUUUACAUAUCAAUCCCCCAUUCCCUGGCCCUCCCAUCCUCCCAUGGCCCUCACCAGCCCCCCCCACCCCUGCCCACUCCCCAAGGAUAGUGAGGCCGUCAAAAUCUG